UAAGUACUCCCUCCGUCCGAAAAUACUUGUCAUCAAAAUGGAUAAAAAGGGAUGUAUGUAGAACUAAAAUAUGUCUAGAUACAUCUUCUUUUAUCCAUUUUGAUGACAAGUAUUUCCGGACGGAGGGAGUACAUA
rnacentral:pre_miRNA from 1 species